UAAGGAAAUGAGAUAAGUCGUACAUAGUAGAUGUACUGGAAAGUGUAUCUGGGAUUAGAAAU
rnacentral:rRNA from 1 species